CUACGGGGCGCUGCAGUGAGGAAUAUUGCACAAUGGGGGGAACCCUGAUGCAGCAACGCCGCGUGGAGGAUGACGCAUUUCGGUGUGUAAACUCCUUUUAUAUGUCAAGAAAAUGACGGUAGCAUAUGAAUAAGCACCGGCUAACUCCGUGCCAGCAGCCGCGGUGAAUACGGAGGGUGCAAGCGUUACUCGGAAUCACUGGGCGUAAAGGACGCGUAGGCGGGUUGGAAAGUCAGGUGUGAAAUCCUACAGCUUAACUGUAGAACUGCACUUGAAACUUCUAAUCUAGAGUAUGGGAGGGGGAGAUGGAAUUAGUGGUGUAGGGGUAAAAUCCGUAGAUAUCACUAGGAAUACCUAAAGCGAAGGCGAUCUCCUGGAACAUUACUGACGCUAAGGCGUGAAAGCGUGGGGAGCAAACAGGAUUAGAUACCCCCGUAGUC
rnacentral:rRNA from 1 species